UCUAAGCACAUGCCUUUAAACGGUGAAGCCGCGAAUAGCUCAUUACAACAGCCAUCGUUUAAUAGAAUAUCGUUAUCCUACUUGGAUAACUGUGGCAAUUCUAGAGCUAAUAUAUGCACUAAAGCUCCGCCCGCAAGGAACGAGCGCAAUUAUUAGAAUAAAGACCAAUCGAGUUUCGGCUCGUAAUUUGGCGAAUCUGAAUAAUAUUGCCGAUCGCACAGUCCUAGUACUGGCGACGUAUCUUUCAAAUGUCUGCCUUAUCAACUUUCGAUGGUACGCUAUACGCCUACCAUGGUGUUAACGGGUAACGGAGAAUAAGGGUUCGACUCCGGAGAGGGAGCCUGAGAAACGGCUACCACAUCCAAGGAAGGCAGCAGGCGCGCAAAUUACCCACUUCCAGAACGGAGAGGUAGUGACGAAAAAUAACGAGACAGUCCUCUUCGAGGUCUGUCAUCGGAAUGGGUACAAUUUAAA
rnacentral:rRNA from 1 species